GCGCCGGUGGUGCAAUGGCGUAGAACAUUCACGCUCAGUCAGCAGGUGCGGGUUCGAGUCCCGCCGGGCGCU
rnacentral:tRNA from 1 species